GAACAAUCCAAACAUCCAAAGGGAUAAAUAAAAUGUGGCAUAUUCAUUGUGUGGCUAUCCAUACAGUGGCAUAUUACUUGGCAAUGAAAAGUAAACAAUUACUGAUAUAUUCAAUUACAUGGUUGAACUUUAAACAUAUAUGACAUGAAAGAGGGUACUUGCAAAAGACCACAUACUGUAUGGUCCCAUUUAUAUUAAAUGUCCAUGAAAGACAAAUCUAUAGAGACAGAAAGGAUGUUAAUGCUUGCCUAGGGCUGGGGAUUUGGGAGGAAAUGAAGAGUGACUCAUAUCAAUAAAACUAUUAAUUUUAAAAGGUCCUAUAAAAGAGGAAGACUUCCUUGGAAUGUACCUUUUAGACUUUGUCUUUCCUCAUCUACUGCAGAACAUGGGGAUACAAAAGCCAUAUUGAACCUGUGAGGACAAAAGCCACACACUAUCAAUGACUGCGCGAUAACAGUAAGAGUCUGGAACUGCGGUGACCUCAUGAACUGAUGCUCUUUCUCUUGACAGACAGCACACAACAAUAGCCUUGGUUAAGAAGAGGAAGGAGGAAGAGCGGAGGACCGCGGAGGAGCACCGGGCGGAUGGAGAAAUGUAAUUGCUGUAAAAAAGAGUGCAUGAUUGGCGACACAGAAGUUUCCAGGACAGAAGCGAAGGAUGGAGUGGUGCUGGGCGGGCCCCAGAAGCUGGGCCACAACAAUCCAGAGAAACUGAACUCCGAAGGCUUCAAAAAGCCCUCAGUAGGAGAGACACUGGGAAUCAGCGACUUUCCUGGAAAAGAGAACAGGGGAUUCCUCUUUCCAGUUCCCUGGAACCUGGUGAGGAGCCGUUGUUAGAGGUGACUGAGAGCUCAGCCCCAGAAGCCACUCGCCCUCAAGGGGUGAUGAGCUUUUCAUUUGUGAGUUUAAGUGCAGCAGGUCCAAGAGGUUCUCUCUGGCUUAUUCAUUAAAUUUCUGACACAAACAAAGCACUGGAACAACUGAGGGGUGAAUAUACCAAUUUCCCCUUAAAGGAGGUCCUCUAGGAAACUUAUUUACUUUAAAUUUUAUACGAGCAACUUUCCGCCCUAGAAAUAGGAAGACUGAAGUCUGGUUAUUCCCGAUUUGAAUGAUCUGCACAGUAAUGUGGAGAUAAACGUUCA
rnacentral:lncRNA from 1 species